AUGAAAGUAAAUCUGUGAAACUUUAUAAAACAUACACUGUAUAACACAGAUGAAGAUUACAGCUGAUACUGUGAAUUCUGCUGUAAAAAUAAGCCCAGUGACACAGACAUAACCACUGUAUCCAUCUCUAACUACAGCAAAAUAUUUCUCCUGUUUCAUACCAUCUCCAUCUACGUUCAUACAAUCACAAUAUGUUGGUUCCGAAUAAAUGUGUUUCUACUGGAAUAAUGUCCCAAUGAACUCCAGAUUAAAGUCUUAAAAAUUUUGAAGGAAGAACAUAAUCUUGACCUCCUGUGUAAAACUGUCUGUGUAGGUUCUCCCACAUCUCUAGUGUCUGGUUUCCCAAGAAUGAAGAGUUACGGAAGAAAUGGGAAAUUGCUGUAAGAAGAGAGAGAUUUACCAGCAGUAAUUCCUCUUUGAUCUGCAGCCAGCACUUCAAGAUAGAGGACUUGGCCGGGACAGAUAGUUAGACUUAUAGAUGGAGUUAGUCCUUCUGUCUUCAGCUUAUUUGUUAAUCUCUAAAGAUGGAGAUGUCCUCUGCUGUAGUUGCUGAAGAGCUUCCAUCUCCAUUUGCCAACAUUUCAGUCGUUGUGUGCGACCAGUUUUGUGUGAUGGUCACACCUACAGCCACACAUUUAAAGUUCUUUGAAAGCUUCCAUGUGAUGUGUUCCACGCUAGCUUGGUAAAUGAUGCUGUACCAAUAUUUGUCAAGAGCUACCACCAUCUUG